AGCCACCUCAGUUCUCUUUUACUGCCCUAUCCUUUCGCCGGGUUUCUCCUUUCAACCUUGAGAGAUAACUGACAUGGGCUUAGGAUACUCAGUCAUUCUGGAAUUCUGUAUCAGCACUGAAACAUGAGUGGGGAAAUUCUAAGAAAUUUACUUCUCUUUUUCUUUUCAUAUUUUCCUCAUUCCAAAGUGGAACUAAAUCGAGGUUCCCUAGCAACCCAGGGCUCUGUGAAGAUUCAUUAUUCUAUAAAAUCCCACCACCUUACAAACACAAAAUGUUACAAGUUGCCCAGUCACCCCGGCUUCUGAGAUGAAGAAUAUUAUUGAAGUCAAAUCUGGUGGCUAUCACACUCCAUGGAACUUGGGGCAACAUUUAGGUACCUCUACCCAGGAAAGAAUCUCUGAGAAAUAGGUGGCAGUUUCUCUAGCAGCAUAAGAAGAACCUUGAUAAGCAUCAUCCUUAAGUCCUGACAGCAGUGGAUGACUAGUCAGGAACCUGUCCAGGAGGACAUUGACAUGGAUCUGCCAGCUUUCUAAGACUUUCCCCAGAUUCAAGUCCAGUCACAUCAAGUUGCCUUAUUAAAGGGUCUGCCCACUCAAAAGGAGAAAGUGCAAAAGAUGCUCAGCAAGGGUAGCAAACGCAGUCAGAUGAUACUUCCUGACAGCAUCCAAGAGCAAGUCUCACCACCACAUCUGUCAAUAAAAAAGAAAACAAGGAGCUGCCAAUUUGUCUAUUUAUAGGUGCCAAUAAAAUCCUGCACAGAACUUUAGUCAACAAGACUAUUUCAGAAGGGGUGGCCAACAGUGUGGCCUUUCACUGGCAAGGGCCACCUUUGUCAUCACUUAAGAAAGAAAACCUGCCAAGUUUUCUGUGAGGCCCUCAAUAAAUCUUACUGAGUAUUUC
ensembl:lncRNA LINC01333 long intergenic non-protein coding RNA 1333